UUGAACGCUGGCGGCAGGCCUAACACAUGCAAUUCGAGCGGAUGAAGGUAGCUUGCUACCGGAUUCAGCGGCGGACGGGUGAGUAAUGCCUAGGAAUCUGCCCGGUAAUGGGGGAUAACGUUUCGAAAGGAACGCUAAUACCGCAUACGUCCUACGGGAGAAAGCAGGGGACCUUCGGGCCUUGCGUUAUCGGAUGAGCCUAGGUCGGAUUAGCUAGUUGGUGAGGUAAUGGCUCACCAAGGCGACGAUCCGUAACUGGUCUGAGAGGAUGAUCAGUCACACUGGAACUGAGACACGGUCCAGACUCCUACGGGAGGCAGCAGUGGGGAAUAUUGGACAAUGGGCGAAAGCCUGAUCCAGCCAUGCCGCGUGUGUGAA
rnacentral:rRNA from 1 species